UUCCUACGGGGGGCUGCAGUGGGGAAUUUUGGACAAUGGGGGCAACCCUGAUCCAGCCAUGCCGCGUGAGUGAAGAAGGCCUUCGGGUUGUAAAGCUCUUUCGCGAGGGAAGAAAUUGCACCGGAUAAUACCUGGUGUAGAUGACGGUACCUUGAUAAGAAGCACCGGCUAACUACGUGCCAGCAGCCGCGGUAAUACGUAGGGUGCGAGCGUUAAUCGGAAUUACUGGGCGUAAAGCGUGCGCAGGCGGUUUAGUAAGACAGGCGGGAAAUCCCCGGGCUUAACCUGGGAACUGCGCUUGUGACUGCGAGGCUAGAGUACGGCAGAGGGAGGUAGAAUUCCACGUGUAGCAGUGAAAUGCGUAGAGAUGUGGAGGAAUACCGAUGGCGAAGGCAGCCUCCUGGGCCAGUACUGACGCUCAUGCACGAAAGCGUGGGGAGCAAACAGGAUUAGAUACCCGGGUAGUC
rnacentral:rRNA from 1 species